GGGAAUGUAGUUAAAAAUAACAUUUAAUUUGCAAUUAAAAAGAGCUUUAAAUAUUAAGCCUUUCUCA
rnacentral:tRNA from 1 species